CCUACGGGGGGCAGCAGUAGGGAAUCUUCCACAAUGGGCGAAAGCCUGAUGCAGCAACGCCGCGUGGGUGAAGAAGGUCUUCGGAUCGUAAAACCCUGUUGUUAGAGAAGAAAGUGCGUGAGAGUAACUGUUCACGUUUCGACGGUAUCUAACCAGAAAGCCACGGCUAACUACGUGCCAGCAGCCGCGGUAAUACGUAGGUGGCAAGCGUUAUCCGGAUUUAUUGGGCGUAAAGGGAACGCAGGCGGUCUUGUAAGUCUGAUGUGAAAGCCUUCGGCUUAACCGGAGUAGUGCAUUGGAAACGGGGAGACUUGAGUGCAGAAGAGGAGAGUGGAACUCCAUGUGUAGCGGUGAAAGGCGUAGAUAUAUGGAAGAACACCAGUGGCGAAAGCGGCUCUCUGGUCGGUAACUGACGCUGAGGUUCGAAAGCGUGGGGAGCAAACAGGAUUAGAGACCCUGGUAGUC
rnacentral:rRNA from 1 species